rnacentral:rRNA from 1 species
GAUGAACGCUGGUGGCGUGCCUAAUACAUGCAAGUCGAACGCGCAGCGAAAGGUGCUUGCACCUUUCAAGCAGGGGGCAAACGGGUGAGUAAGACGGGGAUGACGUGCCUCAAGGCGGGGGAUAAAAUUUGGAAACAGAUGCUAAUACCGAAUACAACUUAGUAUCGCAUGGUGCAAAGUUAAAAGGCGCUACGGCGUUACCUAGAGAUGGAUCAGCGGUGGAUUAGUUAGUUGGUGGGGUAAAGGCUUACCAAGACGAUGAUGCAUAGCCGAGUUGAGAGACUGAUCGGCCACAUUGGGACUGAGACACGGCCCAAACCCCUACGGGAGGCUGCAGUAGGGAAUCUUCCACAAUGGGCGCAAGCCUGAUGGAGCAACGCCGCGUGUGUGAUGAAGGCUUUCGGGUCGUAAAGCACUGUUGUAUGGGAAGAAAUGCUAAAAGAGGGAAUGAUUUUAGUUUGACGGUACCAUACCAGAAAGGGACGGCUAAAUACGUGCCAGCCGCCGCAGUAA